AGUGAACGCUGGCGGUAGGCCUAACACAUGCAAGUCGAACGGCAGCACAGUAAGAGCUUGCUCUUACGGGUGGCGAGUGGCGGACGGGUGAGGAAUACAUCGGAAUCUACUUUUUCGUGGGGGAUAACGUAGGGAAACUUACGCUAAUACCGCAUACGACCUACGGGUGAAAGCAGGGGAUCUUCGGACCUUGCGCGAUUGAAUGAGCCGAUGUCGGAUUAGCUAGUUGGCGGGGUAAAGGCCCACCAAGGCGACGAUCCGCAGCUGGUCUGAGAGGAUGAUCAGCCACACUGGAACUGAGACACGGUCCAGACUCCUACGGGAGGCAGCAGUGGGGAAUAUUGGACAAUGGGCGCAAGCCUGAUCCAGCCAUACCGCGUGGGUGAAGAAGGCCUUCGGGUUGUAAAGCCCUUUUGUUGGGAAAGAAAAGCAGCAGGUUAAUACCCCGCUGUCCUGACGGUACCCAAAGAAUAAGCACCGGCUAACUUCGUG
rnacentral:rRNA from 1 species